UACGAAGGGUGCAAGCGUUAAUCGGAAUUACUGGGCGUAAAGGGUGCGUAGGCGGUUCGUUAAGUCUGUUGUGAAAUCCCCGGGCUCAACCUGGGAAUGGCAAUGGAUACUGGCGGGCUAGAGUGUGUCAGAGGAUGGUGGAAUUCCCGGUGUAGCGGUGAAAUGCGUAGAGAUCGGGAGGAACAUCAGUGGCUAAGGCGGCUCUCUAGUACGGUACUGACGCUGAGACGCGAAAGCGUGGGGAGCGAACAGG
rnacentral:rRNA from 1 species